AACGAACGCUGGCGGCAUGCCUAACACAUGCAAGUCGAACGAGACCUUCGGGUCUAGUGGCGCACGGGUGCGUAACGCGUGGUAACCUUCCCUUAUGUUCGGAAUAACUCCCCGAAAGGGGUGCUAAUACCGGAUAAUUUCUUCUGACCAAAGAUUUAUCGCCUUUGGAUGGGCCCGCGUUGGAUUAGAUAGUUGGUAGGGUAAAAGCCUACCAAGGCGACGAUCCAUAGCUGGUCUGAGAGGAUGAUCAGCCACACUGGGACUGAGACACGGCACAGACUACUACGGGAGGCAGCAGUGGGGAAUAUUGGAAAAUGGGCGAAAGCAUGAUCCAGCAAUGACGGGUGAGUGAUGAAGGCCUUAGGGUUGUAAAGCUCUUUUACCCGGGAUGAUAAUGACAGUACCGGGAGAAUAAGCUCCGGCUAACUACGUG
rnacentral:rRNA from 1 species